rnacentral:lncRNA from 10 species
CAAAACUGUAAACAAAAGUAAGAGCUGGUUCUAAAUAAAACAAAUAAAAGUCUAUUAAUUUAAACAUAAAAUAGGCUGGAUGCAGUGGCUCACGCCUGUAAUCACAGCAUUUUGGGAGGCCAAGGUGGGCGGAUCACUUGAGGUCAGGAGUUCAAGACCACCCUGGCCAACAUGGUGAAACCCCAUCUCUACUAAAAAUACAAAAUUAUCUGGGCGUGGUGGUGGGCAUCUGUAAUCCCAGCUACUCGGGAGGCUGAGGCACGAGAAUUGCUUGAGCCUGGGAGGUGGAGAUUGCAGUGAGUCAAGAUUGUGCCUCUGCACUCCAGCCAGGGCAACAGAGCAAGACCCCAUCUCUAAAAUAAUUUUUAAAAAUUAGCUGGGCAUAGUGGUGUGCACCUGUAGCCCCAGCUACUCAGGAGGCUGAGACUGGAGGAUCACUUCAGUCUGGGAAGUCAAGGCUACAGUGAGCCAUGAUCACACCACUGCACUCCAGCCUUGGUUACAAAGUGAGACCGUGCCUCAAAAAAUUUAAAAAAAUAAUAAUUUAAAAAUAAAUAUAAACUGUUAGAAACAAUAGGAAAGCAAGUGUUUGAUCAAUUUCUGCCUCCUUUUGUUCAGAUACAUGUUUGAUU